CAGGCGAUACGGNCACGACUAGAGUGCUGUAGGGGUAACUGGAAUUCNUGGUGUAGCGGUGAAAUGCGCAGAUAUCAGGAGGAACACCGAUGGCGAAGGCAGGUUACUGGGCAGUUACUGACGCUGAGGAGCGAAAGCAUGGGGAGCGAACAGGAUUAGAUACCCUGGUAGUCCAUGCUGUAAACGGUGGGCGCUAGGUGUGGGCUGUGUGUUUGCAGUCUGUGCCGUAGCUAACGCAUUAAGCGCCCCGCCUGGGGAGUACGGCCGCAAGGCUAAAACUCAAAGGAAUUGACGGGGGCCCGCACAAGCGGCGGAGCAUGUGGAUUAAUUCGAUGCAACGCGAAGAACCUUACCUGGGUUUGACAUGCACCAGAUCGGCGUAGAGAUACGUCCUCCCUUGUGGUUGGUGCACAGGUGGUGCAUGGUUGUCGUCAGCUCGUGUCGUGAGAUGUUGGGUUAAGUCCCGCAACGNNNNCANNNNNUGUCUUAUGUUGCCAGCACAUUUUUGGUGGGGACUCAUGAGAAACUGCCGGGGUCAACUCGGAGGAAGGUGGGGAUGACGUCAAAUCAUCAUGCCCUUUAUACCCAGGGCUUCACACAUGCUACAAUGGUCGGUACAACGGGUUGCGACACUGUGAAGUGAAGCUAAUCUCUUAAAGCCGGCCUCAGUUCGGAUUGGGGUCUGCAACUCGACCCCAUGAAGUCGGAGUCGCUAGUAAUCGCAGAUCAGCAACGCUGCGGUGAAUACGUUCCCGGGCCUUGUACACACC
rnacentral:rRNA from 1 species